GAUGAAGAACGCACCGAAAUGCGAUACUUGGUGUGAAUUGCAGAAUCCCGUGAACCAUCGAGUCUUUGAACGCAAGUUGCGCCCGAAGCCAUCAGGUUGAGGGCACGUCUGCCUGGGCGUCACAUAUCGUUGCCCAAUGCCUAUUGCAGUGCAAUAGGAAUUUCUAGGGCGAAUGAUGGCUUCCCGUGAGCGUUGUUGCCUCGCGGUUGGUUGAAAAUCGAGUCCUUGGUAGGGUGUGCCAUGGUAGAUGGUGGUCGAGUUAGAACGAUACCGAUCAUGUGCAUGCUCCCCAAAAUAUGGCCUCUAUGACCCACACGCGUCUUUUGACGCUCAUGACGAGACCUCAGGUCAGGCGGGGCUACCCGCUGAAUUUAAGCAUAUCAAUAAGCGGAGGA
rnacentral:misc_RNA from 1 species